AUUCGCGGCCUAUCAGCUUGUUGGUGAGGUGAUGGCUCACCAAGGCUUUGACGGGUAGCCGGCCUGAGAGGGCGACCGGCCACACUGGGACUGAGAUACGGCCCAGACUCCUACGGGAGGCAGCAGUGGGGAAUAUUGCACAAUGGGCGAAAGCCUGAUGCAGCGACGCCGCGUGGGGGAUGACGGCCUUCGGGUUGUAAACCCCUUUCAGUAGGGACGAAGCGAGAGUGACGGUACCUGCAGAAGAAGGGCCGGCUAACUACGUGCCAGCAGCCGCGGUGAUACGUAGGGCGCAAGCGUUGUCCGGAAUUAUUGGGCGUAAAGAGCUUGUAGGUGGCUUGUCGCGUCUGCCGUGAAAACCCGAGGCUCAACCUCGGGCGUGCGGUGGGUACGGGCAGGCUAGAGUGUGGUAGGGGAGACUGGAACUCCUGGUGUAGCGGUGGAAUGCGCAGAUAUCAGGAGGAACACCGAUGGCGAAGGCGGAUCUCUGGGCCUCAACUGACGCUGAGGAGCGAAAGCGUGGGGAGCGAACAGGAUUAGAUACCCUGGUAGUCCACGCCGUAAACGUUGGGCGCUAGAUGUGGGGAACUUUCCACGGUUUCUGUGUCGUAGCUAACGCAUUAAGCGCCCCGCCUGGGGAGUACGGAAU
rnacentral:rRNA from 1 species